GGGUAAGCUCACUUGCCUGUUGCAAUUUCUCAGCUUGUGUUCGUAUAAUGUCAUCGACCAUUUCGGUGUAUCUAGAAAGAGCUUUAGCACUGCUAUCUGGAAUAAGACUAGCAAACAUCUUUUCCUUGCUCGCGUCCAACACUUCAUUCAUUGCCAUUGACUUCACCAUGGAGAAAGCUGGGAGAGGGGGCAGAGUACUAGGAUUAGGAACCCUCAUGAGGUAGACUCUG
rnacentral:misc_RNA from 1 species